rnacentral:rRNA from 1 species
UGGGGAAUAUUGCACAAUGGGCGCAAGCCUGAUGCAGCAACGCCGCGUGAGGGAUGACGGCCUUCGGGUUGUAAACCUCUUUUGUCAAGGAAGAAGCUUUCGGGUGACGGUACUUGGGGAAAAAGCACCGGCUAACUACGUGCCAGCAGCCGCGGUAAUACGUAGGGUGCAAGCGUUGUCCGGAAUUAUUGGGCGUAAAGAGCUCGUAGGCGGUUUGUCGCGUCUGCCGUGAAAUCCUCAGGCUCAACUUGAGGCGUGCGGUGGGUACGGGCAGGCUAGAGUGCGGUAGGGGAGAUUGGAAGUCCUGGUGUAGCGGUGGAAUGCGCAGAUAUCAGGAGGAACACCGAUGGCGAAGGCAGAUCUCUGGGCCGUAACUGACGCUGAGGAGCGAAAGCAUGGGGAGCGAACA